UUGGCUUCUAAGGGUUGACUGCCCUCUCGCAGACCUGCUCUUCAAACUCCUCAGCAGUUGUCAUCCUUUCUCCCACGCUGCCCUCAAGAGUGGGAAGAACUCAGUAAAUAUCCACAUAGUCACCUUGCUAGCCUCUAAAUUCAGUUCUCAAAAUGCCUUGAGAAGAAGGAAAAAACUCUAUGGGGUCGUCAAACUUUUGCAAGAGGUUUCAUCAUGCAAGGUGCAAAUGUAGACACAGCCCACCAGUAGAAAAGUGUCGCAUCCUACAUGCAGGAUGAAAUCCAGCUGAGUGCAUUCACCCCAAGGCUUCUCAGGAAUGUCUGCCCUGUUUUCUGCUAUUAUGCAGAAAAUGAAGAGAAAUGCCAGCUCACUUCAGGAGACUUUUUUUAUGCACUUCAUCUCUCACCUGUGAAAAAAAAAGGCAGUUGGGAUCUAAGUAGCUGCAUAUACCUUGACUGUUAGCUUGUUAUAUGGUAUUGUAAGAUUGUUUUUCCUCUCUCUCUCUCUUUUUUUUUUUUUUUUUUUUUUUUUUAGGAGGGAACAGUUUGUAGAACACAAAAAGAAAAAAAAGUUUAAGUGUAUUGUGCUCAAAAUAUACAGUUCUUGUGUCUAUAACAUUUUCCUUGCUGAGGGCUAUAAAAGCCUUUCAAACAUAUUUGGUGGGUUGUAUAAACAUACACUUCAGUGUUAUUUAUAAUAAAGAGGAAAAAUUCACAUGGCUUCAGGCUAUAAGAAGUGAAGUCUUAUAUUUACCCAGACUCCUCUUACAUGUUGAUUCAUAGUUGAAGUCUCCUAAGAAGGACACUAUGUGAACCACAUUUCUGCAUUAAAGAUUUAUUUUUAAUGGGGAUUUUAUUGCACUAUUUAAUUGUAUAAGACACUUCUAUAUAAAAUAAAUACAUAAGUGGGAAACAAAAUUAUUUCUUUACUUUUAGAACAGACUUUGUUUUCAGCUCAAGUGCUUAAGAUUUUGGGAUGAAGACUCUAGUGAUACCAAUGAGUGUUACUGACAAAAUUAACUAUGUUUCAAGUCUAGCAAGUGUUUUCAGAUCAAAUGACACAGGAGUUAAAUAGAAAAUGUACCAAAAUAUGACUGCUACAUAUUAUUAUUUGACCUUGUUAUUUACGGUAAGAACAUUUGUAAUCUAAUUAUGCUGAAAAUCUUUGAUAGACUGUCACUGCAUCCUUCCAACACCAGUUAGUCAUGAGAGGCAUGUGAACUGACUUUCUGGAAUAAACUUCAUUUCUCCUGUC